CGAACAAAUGUAACAAUACAAAUAAAAUGGUAGUCUAUAUUUGUAUACAGUACAUAAAACACGAACCAAUGUAACAAUACAAAUAAAAUGGUAGCUCUAUAUUUGUUUACAGUACAUAAAACACGAACAAAUGUAACAAUACAAAUAAAAUGGUAGGCUAUAUUUGUAUACAGUACAUAAAAGUAUGUCAUACAAUCAGUAAAAUGUUACACAAGAUAAAACACGACUCUACAUUACAAUACAAAUAAAAUGGUAGGCUAUAUUUGUAUACAGUACAUAAAAGUAUGUCAUAUAAUCAGUAAAAUGUUACACAAGAUAAAACACGACUCUACAUUACAAUACAAAUAAGAUGGUAGUCUAUGUUUGUAUACAGUACAUAAAGGUAUGUCAUACAAUCAGUAAAAUGUUACACAAGAGAAAACACGACUCUACAUUACAAUACAAAUAAAAUGGUAGGCUAUAUUUGUAUACAUACAAAAAGAAAAUGUGGUAUGAUUGCCAAUGAAACAACUCUUCACAAGAGACCAAAUGACACAGAAAUUAACAACUAUGAGGCCCCAAUACGACCUUCAACAAUGAGCAAAGCCCAUACCGCUAUACAUAACUGCACCAUCUAACAAUAAAUGUACAAUAUGCUCAUGUCCCACUUCACAUGCAAAAAAUAAUGGUGUUGUUCCAUCUUCUUUUGUCAUGUUGAUGUUAGCAGUGUGGUUCAGAAGACAACGGACUACACCUAUCCUACCAAUAAUACAGUAAAAUGUUGAAUGUUUAACAUGAGAAGCAAAUUAGGCAAUGAUAUAUAAUUGUAAAUUUGUCUGUCCAUUGUAAUUAAUUUCGCCAUUCAAAAAGAGUUUUAUUUGGUCGGGUUGUUGUCUCUUUGACACAUUCCCCAUUUCCAUUCUCAAUUUUACAAGUGACUUAGUAUCACUUGUUUUCCGAUACCUGUAUUGUAUUGAUGUACGUAUUUAUUUAUUUGUUUUCUGAAUUGAAUAUUGUUACACUAAAUAAGACAAAAAAUGACCUGGCUAAUCAGGCAGAAAGAAAUAUGAAUUUAAAAAACAAUGAAGUAAUUAAAAAGAAUACUAAGUAACAAUAGAAAUACAAUGUGUACUAAGUGUGGUACAGUUUUAUUCAUUGGCAUCAAGAAAAUAUUUUUACUGCAUUUGAAUCUAAAAUGUCUCUUCUAUUCCUUGUAAUACAAUUUAGAUAUAUAUUCACGUAAUGUGAAGCUUAACUGCAUGUGUAGAAAUAGAGAGAAUAUGGUGGGAUGAAUUUCAGUAAAUACCAAACAUAAACAAACACCUAACAACAAGAAAAUAAAAAGGGUGUUUUGUCAUCUGCUGCAUGAUAGUUACAUAUCA
rnacentral:lncRNA from 1 species